ACUCCUACGGGAGGCAGCAGUGGGGAAUAUUGCACAAUGGGCGAAAGCCUGAUGCAGCGACGCCGCGUGAGGGAUGACGGCCUUCGGGUUGUAAACCUCUUUCAGCAGGGAAGAAGGCAAGUGACGGUACCUGCAGAAGAAGCACCGGCUAACUACGUGCCAGCAGCCGCGGUAAUACGUAGGGUGCGAGCGUUGUCCGGAAUUAUUGGGCGUAAAGAGCUCGUAGGCGGCUUGUCGCGUCGGAUGUGAAAGCCCGGGGCUUAACUCCGGGUCUGCAUUCGAUACGGGCAGGCUAGAGUGUGGUAGGGGAGAUCGGAAUUCCUGGUGUAGCGGUGAAAUGCGCAGAUAUCAGGAGGAACACCGGUGGCGAAGGCGGAUCUCUGGGCCAUUACUGACGCUGAGGAGCGAAAGCGUGGGGAGCGAACAGGAUUAGAUACCCUGGUAGUCCACGCCGUAAACGUUGGGAACUAGGUGUGGGUCACAUUCCACGUGGUCCGCGCCGCAGCUAACGCAUUAAGUUCCCCGCCUGGGGAGUACGGCCGCAAGGCUAAAACUCAAAGGAAUUGACGGGGGCCCGCACAAGCAGCGGAGCAUGUGGCUUAAUUCGACGCAACGCGAAGAACCUUACCAAGGCUUGACAUAUACCGGAAACGGCCAGAGAUGGUCGCCCCCUUGUGGUCGUAUACAGGUGGUGCAUGGUUGUCGUCAGCUCGUGUCGUGAGAUGUUGGGUUAAGUCCCGCAACGAGCGCAACCCUCGUUCUGUGUUGCCAGCGGGUUAUGCCGGGGACUCACAGGAGACUGCCGGGGUCAACUCGGA
rnacentral:rRNA from 1 species